rnacentral:rRNA from 1 species
GACGGGGAGCACCACAACGGGUGGAGUCUUGCGGUUUAAUUGGAUUCAACGCCGGAAAUCUUACCGGGACCGACAGCAAUAUGAAGGCCAGGCUGAAGACUUUGCCGGAUUAGCUGAGAGGUGGUGCAUGGCCGUCGUCAGUUCGUACUGUGAAGCAUCCUGUUAAGUCAGGCAACGAGCGAGACCCACGCCCACAGUUGCCAGCGUACUCUCCGGAGUGACGGGUACACUGUGGGACCGCCGCUGCUAAAGCGGAGGAAGGAAUGGGCAACGGUAGGUCAGUAUGCCCCGAAUAUCCCGGGCUACACGCGAGCUACAAUGGUUGGUACAAUGGGUAUCUACCCCGAAAGGGGACGGGAAUCUCCUAAAACCAAUCUUAGUUCGGAUUGAGGGCUGCAACUCGCCCUCAUGAAGCUGGAAUCCGUAGUAAUCGCGUUUCAACAGAACGCGGUGAAUACGUCCCUGCUCCUU